rnacentral:lncRNA from 1 species
UUUUUAAAAGAAGCUUCAAUACCACUAAAGGAAGGUUGGGAUUGAUUUUGUGGGGUUGUGGUCCAAAAGGACCAAAAAAGGGUCAAAUAAGCAUUUUUCUUGAUUUUCACACAAUAACUUAAGUAUAAGUAGAUAGAAAUCUAUGAAAUUUAAACAUAAGGUUAAUGACCACAAUAGGAAGGUUAGGAUUGAUUUUUUGUCGAGCCUGGAACUUUAGUUGCAGAAAGCUUGACAUAGGGAUAGUGAUCCGGCGGCGGCGUUAGCUAACUUCUUAAAAGCUUUAUAUUUUAGAAAGUAGAAGACUUGGAUGCUUCAUACUUUGGAUAUAGAUGCUUCAUGUUACAAAGUUUUGUCAGUCACAUGUCCAAUGUCCUUGACCUCAUUUUCAUGGUUCAGUGACUACUUGAAAAAAAAGUUAAAAUUUUUUGUAAUGUUAAGUUCUCUCUUAUUAUAAGUAGUAGGAUAACUAUAUUUGGUAUGUGCGUACCUUGCAAGGUCCCCAUACCCGUCAGACAGUUUUCACUUGACCUCAACCUCAUUUCAUGGAUCAGUGAACAAGGUUAAGUUUUGGUGGUCGAGUCCAUAUCUCAGAUACUAUAAGCAAUAGGUCUAGUAUAUUCGGUGUAUGGAAGAAAUGUAAGGUGUACAUGUCCAACUGUUAAAUAUGGAAAUAUUUUAUGAUCUUUAUGUCAGUCCCGCAGAUUUUAUUUGACCACGACCUCAUUUUCACGGUUCAUUGCACAGUGUUUAGUUUUUUGUGUUUUGGUCUAUUUUUCUUAAACUAUAAGUAAUGGGUCAAUUAUAUAUGUUGUAUAGAAGCAUUGUUAGCUGAAUAUGUCUGCCUAGCAUGGUUCAUCUGACCUUGACCUCAUUUUCAAGGUUCAUUGGUCUUUGUUUAGUUAUCUUGGUUAAUGUUAAGUUUAUGUUACAGUUGUAAUAAAGCUUAGCUUUAUACUUAGGACUAUCAACACAAUAUCAAUGAUUAUAGUAUAGAAGGCGAGACAUUUCAGCGUGUGCACUCUUGU